UGUUUCCUACGGGAGGCAGCAGUGAGGAAUAUUGGUCAAUGGACGAGAGUCUGAACCAGCCAAGUAGCGUGAAGGAUGACUGCCCUAUGGGUUGUAAACUUCUUUUAUAUGGGAAUAAAGUGAGCCACGUGUGGCUUUUUGUAUGUACCAUACGAAUAAGGAUCGGCUAACUCCGUGCCAGCAGCCGCGGUAAUACGGAGGAUCCGAGCGUUAUCCGGCUUUAUUGGGUUUAAGGGGAGCGUAGGCGGAUUAUUAAGUCAGUUGUGACAGUUUGCGGCUCAACCGUAACAUUGCAGUUGAUACUU
rnacentral:rRNA from 1 species